AGGACCGGCAGCGUUCGGCUGCUUGCACUUUCGGCUGUGUAGACAGACGGAUAUUGAUGUUAUUAUUAGGUUACUGAAUUUUGGUUCUCGAGAAUUCAAAGUUGCCAAUUUGUAUUUGUGAAUGAUGGCAAUAUUGAAAUAUUUCUAAGAAAUCAAGUAGGCUUUUGUUAAAAAUACGUUAUGUUGUUUGAUUCGGGUUGUAUUGUUUGUGGUUUCCUUAAAACCCUUAAGAAACUCAGAUCAUUUAUUGAGAUUUCUGGGUAUUACAGGAGAUUUAUUAUGGGCUACGCUGCAAUAGCCAAUUCACUCACAAGAAUACUUAGAGGGGAAGACGGACGAAUAUUGAAGAGAACCUCAGCAAGAAAAAUUAUUCAACUUGAUGACGAAGCUAUUAAAGCUUUUGAGAAACUUAAAAACGCACUCGUAUUUGACGAAAUCAUGCAAUAGGACCCGUGUUGUCGUCACAAGCUGAAAUACCAAUCCGCGAAACCGGGUAUGAAACCGCGAAAAAGUAAAUGCUAGCCGUGUUCUGGGCUGUAAAAAAAUUGAACAGCUAUCUCUACGGUGGGUCUAAAGUAAAUAUCUAUACCGACCACAAACCCCUUAGACAUGAUUUAAUUGGAAAGGUGGAAUAGCUAUUAAUAGAUGGAAGUCAUACCUAAAUGAAUAUAAUACGGAACUACUGUAUAAACCAGGAAAGGAAAAUGUGGUAGCUGAUGCUUAAGCAAGAUAAAGUCAAUUCAAUAACUGGGACACAACAUAGUGUUCAAAGUUCUUCACAUAAUCAGUAUUCCAAGUACCCAAUAAACGCAUUUAAAAAUCAAAUUAUUAUUCACAAAGAACCCCCACAUGUCUAUAAAUUUACUAUUCCAUUCCCUACAUUUCAUGAAACACUAUAUCACAGUCAGAAUUUUUAGACAAUGAUUUAAUGUAUAUGUUGCAGCACCGUUAU